rnacentral:lncRNA from 1 species
CUCCCUAAUUGUGUAGAUUCUUUCCUUAGUUCCUGAUUUAUUCAACAUUAAACUCCCUUCCUUGCAUAACUUGAAGUCACUGAAAGUAAAACUGAAACCACGCCCUUAUGGAUUAUCAUCUUAUAUAAGGAAAGAACUUGUGUAUAAAUACAAGUCACGUAAAGAAGCUCACAAGAUACGUCUCAAAGAAGCAGAUGAACCAUAUGUAAUCAUACCUGAGGGGAUAGUAGACUUCUUGCUUCAAAACUCACCAUCUGCAGAAGUUGACAUCAUCCAUUACAGGAGUGAGGAGUCCACAGGAAAUUAUCCAGUCGGUUGAAAUGGUCCUCCAAACUAAGGUACAUUAUUCAUUGUAGUUGAUCUUGUGAUUUGCUUUCGUUGAUACGUCAUUUGUUUAGUCAAUGACUUAUUCUGAAAGAGAAGGACUAUCCAUUAAAAUUGGAAACAAAUGAAACUACAAACCCCCAUUUUCUUAAACGAAAAAUAAGUUAACUUUGUUUUAGUUGUGUGAUACUAUUCAUAAUAUGCCUACUGCCUAGAGUGUUUUUGGAAAAACAUCUUAUGAUAUUCAGUACCUUUCAUAUUCAAUUGUUUAUGUUUCCUUUGUUUUAGCUCUUGUAAAGUUUUUUGAGUUGAUAGAUUUUGCUUUGAGUAUUGAUACUGUUACUUGUUAGGCUUUUGAUACAUCAUCAAUUGAAGAUAUAGUUGAGAAGAGUCAACACAACACCCAACCUCAAAGAUAAUGGGCUUUGAAGAGUGCACAUCAAAAAACAAAAACAGUAUUGCCUUACAAGUUACAAUGCCUUCUGUGUCAACCUUUCUUUUGGAUUGUAGUUCAAACUUCAAAGUAUGCCCUGGGAGAUUAGAUAUCAGAUAAGUGACUGAAUAUAUCAGUUUGCUGAGUGCUGACUAUACUGACCUUGGACGAUUUGACAUGCAACUGAUCAUUCACAUGAAUUCUUUUUGAGAUUGGCGAGAUUGUUCCAUCUGAUAGUCUCCAAUUUAAUUAUAUACUAGUCCCGUUGUCUUGGCCAUUUAAUUAUAUACUAGUCCCGUUGUAUUGGUCUGUCUCUGUAUGAACAGGUGUGUUGUUUUGUUUUUGGAAGCCUAAAUGAAUCAUUUAGUUGUUACUAGAUAUUUUUAUCGAUCAUUUCUUUGGUUUUUUAUAUAUUCUGUUUUCUGAUCUUGACAACUCAUGUUUUUUGUUGAUCUCACUCGUACUAAUGUUGAACCCUGCAUUUAUUCAUAUUUUCUUGAUAUGAUAUUGUUUCUGAUGGAAUGUGAGGGGCUGAAAUAAAAAACUAUAGCUGUGAUUUUUAUUAGCACUAAAGCUUCUCCCAAUAACUCAAGUUGGGGUAACUCAGUGAACUUGGGGAUGAUUUUGGAGGGCUUUUUUAAAAUACUUUCCCAUUUGGUUAUCAUUCUCCAAUGCUCAAAACUCACCUCAACGUUAUCUCAAUUCCCACAACACCGCACGUGCGCAAGUUGGUGUUGCAAACAUUACUUGGGACAACACAGUUGCAAGUUGGUGUUGCAAACAUUACUUGGGACAACACAGUUGCUCCCUAUGCUUUGAACUAUGCAAAUUCAAGAAAUCAAUGAUUGUAAUUUGACUCACUCAACUGGACCUUAUGGUGAGAAUCUUGCCAAANNNNNAUUAUAAUGUCAUGCAAUACAAAAUGAAAUUAUAUUUCAUUGUUAUUUUUGGUAAGUUUUUGAAUAAUCUCUAUAUGUGUCGUCCUUUUUGACAAAUCAAGUACUGAUACUUUAUGUACUUUAGAAUUGGUAUAUCAAUUUUAGUGCUCCAAUUGUUGGGCCACAUUGUUAAUUUUAGUGCUCCAAAUGCUGUGUAUCUAUGUUUUCUUUUUAAUUAUGAACAUGAUGUGCAGAUAAGCCAAAGUAUUCAUUUUCUAACUUAGAUAUAAAUUAGUUCCAAUUUCUCAAUUCAAUAACCACUUUCACUUGCGUUUAAAGAGUUGCUAGCUUAUUAGCUAAUGCUCUUUUAUCCACCAGAAGGAAUUCCAGAAUAAUUACCAUUUCGUAUCAAUUUAUUUAAAAUAAUAAUUAAGUAAACAAUUUUUUUAUGGGGCUGUUUUCAUUUCUAAAGUUAAUAAUGUUCCAGACCGGACAAAAACCAUCAUUGUGUCCCUAUGACACAUACAAGUGAAUCCCUUGAUUAAAUUGCCACCCUUUAAUCAUCAUUGAUCGGUGCUCUGCAAAUCAUGCCAAAAUUUAUGCAACUGUGAAACUGUUUUGUGCACCGGUCUCAUUACACAUUACACGUCAGCUAUAAAAGGAAUGCUACCUAUGGUGAAAGUUAUAUUAUUCGGAAAACUGUGUCUGAAGACCUAUAAUUUUAUAGGAUAUAACUUGUGUACAAAUUUUCAGAGUCCCUUUAAGUCUUAGACAGAGACUUGAGGAAGCUUCUAGACUGGUUUUUGCUCAGAGUGAGUAGAAGAAGGUUGAAAGAUUGAAAAAGAUGAGAUCAAUCCAAGUGGUUACUAUGAUUCAGAACACACCAAAAAAUUAGAGGUCUCCCAUUAGAUGUCAGUGUAACGGAGACUAUUAAACUGUUAACUAGUAGAUAUAUGUUUGUAUUUGAUUAUUGGAAUUAUUUUGUUGGUGCAGGUUUGGAGCAAUGAUGCCUAUGAGAUUGAGAAUGAUGGUAAACUCUGAGAAAGAAAGGUUUUCAAUACCUUUCUUUUUACUUUCCUGCACAUGACACUGAAGUCAAGCCUUUGGAGGAGUUGUUAAACGAUGAAAUCCCUUCAAAAUAUAUACCAUACAACUGGGGAAAGUUUCUUGUGGAGAAAAAGUAUCACAUAGUACUAAUAAAAGUAUCACAUAGCUUGCAUGUAAAUAAAUUUAUGACUUGUAACAUUGAAAACCGUACUUCAUCAUUCAAGUAAUGAUAAAGAACUAUAGUUGCUUUGUAGUCUGCAUAACCAACGACCUUGUUCAUUGUUUGUGAUUUGCAUUUUCUUUUACUCUUUCUGUUACUAGUUGUUGUUCUAACACUUAUUCUGUUUUAUGUUUGUUUAGGUACUUGUAUUUGAAUAAUGAAUGUCUACUUCAGCAAAUGAGGUAAUGAUUUCACCAAAGAUUAAGAGACUAAGGCAUGAUGAUAAUCAAGACAGAUUGAGUGAAUUACCUGACGGUAUUCUCAUUCACAUUUUGUCAUUUUAAAUACCACACAUUCGUUCAAACUUGUGUUUUAUCCACAUAAUGGAAACAUCUUUGAAAAAAUAUUCCCACCCUUAAAUUGCAUUACACAGACUUUUCCACUUUGAAGAGUUUUGACAAUAUUUGUGUCUUCAUGAUGCCUCAACUACACUUCAUGCUUUCAAUCUUAAGCGCAAUGGUAGCAUUGGAUCUCGCCUGAUUAAAAGGGUUGCAAACUAAGUUUUAUCCCAUAAUGUCAAGCUCCAUCAUUUAGGAAUUGUCAAAGUAUUGGAUAUAACAAGCUACUUAACUAAUUUCAGUUAGUUAGUUUAGGUAACUAGUUGUACAAGUUAGUUGGUUAUUUAUACUUGUCAUAGGUUUUUAGUUAGUUAUCAACAAACUAAGAAUCUAUAUAUAGAGUGUAAGUCAUAAUCAAUUGUAACUUGAUUCAUUUUGUCCAAUAUUGAAUAAGAUUGAGUUCUUCUUCUUCCUUAUUCCUCUUUUCAUCAAUUCCAUUUUCUUUACUUCUCAUCAAUGGAGGUUAUUGUUGUUUCCGCAUCAUUUAGGCCAUAUCUUUGAUAGGAAUUGAUGUCAAAUGUAUGACAUUCUUGCCUUGCAUUUCUUCAUCACUCUACCAUCACUGAACCUAUUUGUUGCCACUAAAGGCCAUCAUAAUAAUGGGAGAACAUUAUUUCCAAAACAUUUGGAUUUGCCAACAUUAACGACCUUGCACCUAGAAUAUUUUUCCUUUUUGGCUAGUGACGAUGGCCCGAUUAAUCCCUUUUUGGGAUUUAAAAGUUUAACUAGUUUGNNNNNNNNNNNNNNNNNNNNNNNNNNNNNNNNNNNNNNNNNUGCUUACAAGUCGUUCUAGUCUGAUUUAUAAAUAAAAGCAUAAUUUAGGAACUCUAUUGUUCCUUUUAAUUCAUUUUGAGUUUCCUUUGUUUUAAUUUCUUGAUUAUUUUGAAAUAUGCAUGCUUCCUAGAGUCUUUGUGCAAAAUAUUUAUAAGAAUUGCUUGUCAAAUUAGUGGUCAUGGUUUGAUUCACCAAAGAAAACGAAACCAAAUGGUUUAAUUGCAGUUUUGAUCCUCUUAUUUGUCGAUUUCUGAAUUUUGGUCCCCACAUUUUAAAUUUCCCAAUUUUGGCCUCUCAUUUUUUUCAAUUUCUGAAAUUGGACUCAAACACUUAAAAUUAUGCAUACAUGACAUAUUUUGAUAUGAUGUGGCAGCAAAUGGACCAAUCAAUUGUUGGUAAUUCUUCCUUUUUGUUGGUCAAAUAGUUUAGUCUCUAAACUAAUGCAUUUUGUUGGAACCCUAGAAAACUGGUUCUAUGAACCACUGUUUGUAGACCUCACCUCACUUCACCGUUUCUAUCCCGUACGAAAUAGAGCGAAGUGUUUGCUUGGAUGUGUAAAUCGUCAAUUUCAAAGUAUGUAAUCUAGCACCUCUUUCCACCGUUCCUAUCCAUUUUCCCAAUUGCAAUCUAGUAUGACUUUGAUGAGAUUUGAAAGCUCGCCGUAUAUUUGAUUCUCUUUGUAAUUGUAACUCAAAUUCCUGAUCCGUUGUAUAAUAUUGCAGAAAAUGAUUCCACAUUGUUUUUCCCUUUUAUGCUUGUGUAGGUACCAGUAGUUAUCUGAGUUGUAAUGUCUAGUUUAGCGCAUGAGAAAAUGAUUCCACCCGACAACAAGAGAGGGAGGCGUGAUAAUAAUGAAGAUAGGUUGAGUGACUUACCUGAUUGUGUUCUCCUUCACAUNNNNNNNAAUUCCAAACACGCCGUUCAAACUUGCGUUUUGUCCCCCCAGAUGGAAGCAUCUUUGGAAAUGUAUUCCUACCCUUAUAUUGCAUUCCUCAGAAUUCUCCAAUGCAAAAAAAUUAGCCAUAUUUGUGACUAAGAUUUUGAAUCUUCGUGAUACCACACCUUCACUGCACACUCUCGAUUUUGAGCGUAUGUGCAGUUUUGAGCCUCAACGGACUCUCAAAGAGAUUGUAAACUAUGCUUGUUCCCAUAAUACCCAACUCAAGCAAUUAGGAAUCCGUGUUAAAGGUGGUAGUAGUAUCAUUUUUCCUCGCAUUUCUUCAUGCCAGGCUCUUACGUCUCUUAAGCUUUAUGUUUACCCUAAAGGUCUUUAUAUUAAUGGGAAAAGAACAUUAUUUCCAAAAUAUCUGAAUUUGCCAGCAUUGACUAGCUUGGAUCUAACUAAUUUCGCAUUUUGUGGUAGUGACAAUGCUGAUCAUGUCGAACCCUUUUCAUCAUUUAACAGCUUAAAUAAUUUGAUCAUUUCUAGUUGUACUGUAAUGGAUGCCCCAAUUCUAAGAAUAUCAAGUGCAACCCUUGUCAAUUUAAUCAUGUCUUAUAAUUCACCUGACUUUACCAAAAUCGAGCUAUCUGCUCCAAGUCUUUAUACCAUUACUUUUGAUGGUAUUCCUUAUCAGAGACUGAGUGGAAGCAGUCUUUCUUCAGUCAAACAAGUAAAGAUUGAUGCAGACAUAUCUACAAGAUUUGAGGAGUUUUCUUUGAUUCUAUUCAACUGGCUGCAGGAACUUGAUAAUAUAAAAUCAUUGACAGUCACUGCAAGUACUCUUCAGGUACCUUAACUUGCCAUGUUUUGAGGUUUCUUUACUUUCUUAUUAGGAUGCUUAUUUAUUUCAUUUAAAAAUUUGUCAAAAAUCAACUGGCUUGCAUCAAACUAAUCAUAAUUCUCCCUAAUUGCUCAGAUUCUAUCCUUAGUUCCUGAUUUAUUCAACGUUAAACUCCCUUCAUUGUUGUGUAACUUGAAGACACUGAAAGUAAAACUGAAACCACUCCCUUUUUGAUUACAUCUUAUAUCGGAAUUGGCCAUGUUUAAGAACAAGUCACAUAAAGAAAUUCACAAGAUGCCUGAAGCAAGUGCUGAACCGUUUUUCACCAUACCUGAGGGGAUAGUAGACAUCUUAUUUCAAAACUCACCAUCUAGAGAAAUUGACAUCACCGAUUACAGGAGUCCACAUCAAAUUGUGCAGUGGGUUGAAAUCGACCUCAAAACUGUG